GUUCUUAUAGUGUAGUUAAGCACAUAAGAUUUUCAAUCUUUUAGUAUAUAGUGUAAAAUAUUAAGAAUU
rnacentral:tRNA from 1 species